AUGUGGUUAAACAAAUUAUUUCUCUACCUAGAAGGUGUUUAAUUGGUGCCAAUUGAGGAGAAGGAGGAAACAGUGCUGUGACUUCCAGGAGUGAGAGUCAGGAGGCUUCAGCCAAGGAAGAGGAAAGUUGCAUUGACUUCUGAGAGGUCUUUCCCACCUAAAAAAAUUCACUUUAUUUAAAAUAUGUAUUAAGCGAGAGAGAGAAGAGGAAGUGGGAGCCAGCCAAAAGAGGCCAGAGGGUAAUUAACAGCUGCCGGAUGUACCACGGCCCUGCCGGCCAUCACUAAGGACUGUUCUCAGAUGAGCACCCGUUUCAUCAGCUGCCGGAUGUACCACGGCCCUGCCGGCCAUCACUAAGGACUGUUCUCAGAUGAGCACCCGUUUCAUCUGGUGGUAAUUCCCGUUGAUCAUUAUAAAUUAUUUAAGCCACAAAUGCUGGGCCACCCAUUAAACCAAGAAUGGGGAAGGUUGGCCAAAAUUUGCCUCUGGGAAGGGUCCUACUCCCCUGAAUUCGGUGGAAAUAGGAGUGAGAAGUAAGAGAUCAUCACUGCUGCCAUCAGAGAGUAAGCUGGAAGUUGAGCCCAGAGUCACUGUGACUCACGUCUUUCUACUUGGAAAAACGAGGUCUUGUAAUAGAGAGGACUUGAAGGGAUGUUAAGUGGAGACUAACCUGUACCAGGUGCCUAGAUUCUUAUCCCUGCACAGGACAAUAAAACAGCAGAUGAUCCGGUAACAGUGACAAGAACAAAAUCCCACCUACAACUUAAAAAACAUGAAGUGAAUAUUCUUUUCCAUUAUGUGCAUAAUGAGGUAUUAAAUACAUUUCCCUGUGCUAUAAGGUAGGAACACAGAUGGCUUUUUUCUGACACUGACUUGAAAAGCAUCCCUGAAGCAACCAGACAGAGCCGUUGUGAGAUUCAGGUUCUGCUGGAAGUCCAGCACGAUGACUGGGGAAGUUUCAGCUAGCUGUGGUGGUAGAAUGGCCCUCCCUCAAAACCAAGUGGCUAAAAAGAACUGUUGACUAUUAGUGACAAGACAAUGCAUCUGCCGGAUGGACCCACUGAUCUGGGCUGAGCUCUGCCCACCUCCGCCGGGCUUAUUGGCAUCCCUUUGGUCAGCUGGAGGGCUGGGUCCGCCCACCUCCGCUGGGCUUACUGGAAUCCCUUUGGUCAGCCAUGGCCCCUUUUGGCCAUGGCUGGGACACAUCAGCUUUGCUCCACAUGGCCUUUGAUCCUGCCCGCAGGUCAGUCUGGAUUUAUCCACAUGGCAGCAGCAAGGUUCCAAUAGAGUGGAAGCAUGGAAGGUCUCUUAAGCUCCGGAGUGAACUGGAUCGUUGUCACUUUGACCUCAUCAUACCGACAAAAUCAAGCCCAGAUUCCAGAGGAAGGGAAAUAGACAAUCCUCCUGGUGGGAGGAGCUACCAACUCAUCUUGGAUGCAGGAGGGAAAGAAUGGAAGCCAGAUUUGCAUCCAUGUACCAAAGGGAACUUGAGUAUUCUCAGCUCGCAUGGUAAACACCUUAUUUUUAGGGGGGAGAGUAGGAUAAAAAUAAAUCUUAUGUGUGAAAGAAGUUCCCAUACCCAAUUUAGAGACAAUCUGGUUUAUUAAAAUAGAAGCAUCUCCCCCCAAUUUUCUUUUUUAGUUCUCUUAUUUCUACCAUUUGUUGACUAUUCCACCCAAUGUAGAGAGAAGCUUUCAUAUUUAAUUUGUUUUUUGUUUUGUUUUGUUUUGAUUAUACUUGAAUUAUUUUUGGCUUUGUUUGUUAAUAUAUUAUUGUGGAAUUUAGGUGUCUUAAAACACGAGAAUAUUUUCUAUUCUUCUGAGUUUUAUUUUUAGGUAUCUUAAAAUGAAUUGCUAUCCAUAGUGGAAUACUUGAAAUCAUUGUGUGAAAAGGUGUGAUUCAGUUUUCACUUCUUCAAGAAACAUUGUUGAGUGAGUGCCUCUUGGGUACUUAAGAAGCUGGGCUAGUUGCUCAAGAUACAGUAAAGAACAAGGCACACAAAAUCCCUGCGCUCAGUGAAGUGUGAACUUGACUGGGGUGGGGUCAGGGUACAGAUAGGAAGCCAGCAAACAAGCAAAUAAAAGAGUCAGCAAACCAUGACUGAUUAUACGAAGUGCUGAGAAGGAUAAAGCUGGACGCUGGGGAGCUUGAUUUAAUCAGAGACCUCCACCUCCACUUACAGGAGAUUGGAGGAGGUAAAAGUGAAGCAGAGGCUCUCUUUGGGAAAAGAAGACAGCAGUGCAAAGGGCCAGGGGCGGAGCGGUCCAGAGUGGGCAGACCUGGAUGAGCCUCAAGACGCCUUCAUGGAGAGUUUCAGGGACAGAAUCCAGUGUCCCAAGUGCCAUCAGCUCUCUGCUUCUGUCCAUCUGGAGUCAUCAGUCUUUGGAGUGCUUUCCUUCCCAGGGGCAGCAGUUGCCUCUCUCUCAGAGGGCUGCCUUCAGACCUCCAGAAUUCACUUUUCCUGAAAGUCCCAAGAGCUCUGAGUCCUGGGAGUGGACAUUCUUUGGGGCAGCCCUUUAGCAAUAUUGAUGAGAGUGGGGGUAUCAGUUCCCCAACUCCCUUGCCAAUGGGGUACCUCCCAGACCUCCCCUGCAGAAAUAAGCCAAAGUUGUGUUCUUGCCUGGAGAAUCCCAGGGACGGGGGAGCCUGGUGGGCUGCUGUCUGUGGGGUCACACAGAGUCAGACACGACUGAAGUGACUUAGCAGCAGCAGCAGUCCUAAGUGGGACUUUUCUUGAUUUCUCACCCUUGCUGGAUUUUCUUCUUUUUCUGUCCCACCUCCAUCACUCUCCUACUGGCUUUUCCUGGAACGUUUUCUAAUAAGUGACACUCUCAGGGAUUCUUGUCCUUGGAGGUGAUUCCAAGGUAAGGCAACCCUGGGCAGCCAGUGGCAUUGGAGCAAAAUGAAUGAAGAACGAGGUAUGAGAUAGGGUUCCAGAGACAGGUCAGGCACUGUGUAGCAAGUACUUGUACCCCUGUACAAGCAAGCAGGAAAUUGCAUUACCUAACGUACGUAUGCAAAAGCAUCACCCUGUGGGCAAUGGCCGGAGAGAGAAUUGGUUGGGUGAGGGAAAGAGUAAAACCUCAAACCAAAUUCAAAGCCAGUAAUCCUCCCUGUGCUGACAUCUCUACCAAUUUCUUUUUAUCUUUUCAAUUGGGAUAAAACGAUCUACCCUUUGGCUAUGCCUCAAAGAUGGUGUGAGGAUGAAAAGAUGAUUUGCAUAAACUUAUCGCUCGCUGCAAAAGAUUUGCCCAAUAAAAUCCACUAUUAUUAUUGAUAAAAAUAAAAAUAGCAAUGCAAGCUCAUAGCCAAUCUCUGGAGAAUUUUCAUACAUUAAUGGGAAAAUUAAGUGUUAUACUGAAGACGGGAGCAACUGUUGCUAAGUUUCUCUGUUGUUUGGACCAUUGUUGCACCUUUGAAUGUGUGCAGAAACAAAAUAGCUGACGCAAAUAUUUGUGACCCAACCUGGUUCAGCCUGACUUAGAGAUAAGGAUCUUUUGAAAAAUGGCAGCAAUGAAACCAGCAUUCCAGGUUUUUCCUUUUAGGAGAAAGGGAUAGCUUAUUUAAAAAUGAAAAAAAAAAAAGUAUAAAUGGAGAUUUAAAAAUAUUGGUUUAUGUUCUAGAUACAGAUACACAUAAAUAAUCUCCAUACAAAUGAGUUCAUGUG
ensembl:lncRNA